UGAGCCACCCAGGUGCCCCCAAGAUCAGUGUUGUUUUUGUUAUGACUUUUGAUUUUCAACUUUAAAAAAUUUAGAAAAUGGAAGCUGGACCACUAGUCCCCGGCAUCCUUCUGAGGAAGAGGGGAGAGGAGCAGGGGCAGGGUGUCAUCAGAGCGGGGCGUGAUCUGAGAGCACUGUGACGAUAGAGCCCCCACUGGUCCUGCUGCCCCUUCCUGCACUGAGGGCUCAGCUGGCUCCUCGAAGGGCCACAGGGGCACCCAGGGACCCCCCCCCGCUGAGAUGGAGCCUAGUCACUGUUGUGCUGCUUUUAGCCCCAAGGGAGGUCACCACUGCUGGGGUCUUUGUCUCAAGGGCCUGGCUUCUGCCCUGUAGACAGACGUGCAUACACCUGGCUCCUUUUCUUCUCAUUCAGGGGAGGAUAGGAGAGGCAGACCCCUCGGAAUCUGGGUGUGGCAGGGGCCACCCUCACCCCCUGCCGGGCAGGUGCUCUAGCAAUGCUGGUCCCCAUAGUAGAGGGACCUGAGACAUCAUCCCUUCCAUCUCCCAGUAUCUCGACCAGAGGAGGCUCUGGUUGCCCACCUCUGCAUCUCUCUGCCAUUUCCAUUGCCACUGCCAUCCCCAGGACCUGCCUGCCCUCUCCAGUCAAGCUCUCGGGCUUUGCUCAUCUCCCUAGAAGCCCCCUCCCAACACCAUCUGGGACACAGACAUCCCAAGCCUCCCUCUGUGACAGAAACCUUUGAGCAGUAUAGUUCUGAGACGUUCUUUGGGGAGGACCUCAUACAGCUCAGAUACCCUGGUAAUUUGGAAAAGAGUUGCUGAGUGCCACACAGCUCAGCCAGAAUUAACAUGCAUUUUGCCAAAAGAACAGAGUUGCCCCUCAUGUCUUCAUCCACUGCUGGGCUAGGUGCUGUCCUGGGAUUCUGAAGGGCACUGGGAAGGAAGGCAGCAGGGCAGCAAGGGCACCCCCGUUCGCUUCUGGGGGUUCUGAUUGGCUCUCAUGGAGCCAGAGUUCCUUGGUUUGCUGGCAGAGCUUCUGACGGUGGUGGCCACUGGGCAGUGCUGUGCUUAGUGGUCUCAGUGUUGGCAGUCACAGGGCAUGGCUGUGUGUGCCAUGUACAUGCUAGCCCAGCGAUUCUGCAAGGGAGCACAUAUUCUCACUGCUUUCCAGUUGAAACAGGCCCAGGGGGGCAGAGUGGGCUUUGGAUAAACAGCCAAAAUGGGGCCGGCCUGGGUCCCUUCUUUGCACCAAUCAUGACUGUCUCAACAGUCCGUGUUCCCUAGCUCCUUGGCUUGCUGUCCCCUGGGUGUCUUGGGAGCAGGCAUGGAUGGUAGGUGUAUCCCAGAGGCGUGUCAGCCCUGCAACAGGGCCCAUUCCUACCUAUACCAGGUUUGCCCUGUCUUCCUGAGGUUCAGAGGAUGCAGGGAGCUCUAGAAUGUUCCACUGGUCCAAGGGGCAAAUGCCCAGGCGGGCCCUGCUCCUUCUAGGGGCCCCUUCCUCUCAGCCUGCCAGUCGCUGCUGGAAGAGGCCGGCAUUCAACAGUCGCGCCUUGUCUCCUGAGACCUCUGUCUUCGCUCCACCCCAGGAUCAGCCUGGGACGGACCACGGUUUUAAUUAGCCUCGUUUGGGGAUGGCGGCUUGGAAGCCCUGGGAGGUGAAUGCGGCCCGCCUUGCUUUUGGAAUCCGCUGCCAGUGGACACAAUGUAGCUGUAGCAAUGAAAACGAGGGAGAGAAUGGCCCACAGGCUGGGCUUUUUAAUUGGCACCGUCCUCCCGGCCCUGCGCCCGCCUGCUGGCCCUCCUGGGGCUCUGUUUGGGCGGCCAGACCUGGGCCGCGAGCGGUGGAGCCUUUCAGAGCAUCAGACUGAUUUAAGUGGCCCCGUAUAGAUGCCCGCAGCCCUCGCUGAAAGGCGCGGCUCGGUCCCCUCGUGGAGGAGCCCUGGGAAUGUGUCCGCCACCUGCGUGUGGUGAAUGGCAGUAACCGCCCGGAGCCCCGCCGGGCAGCCUGGGCUUCAAUGGGCCCUGGGCCCUGUCCGAGAGAAAAGGUUUUUCUAAAGCUGCAAUUAAUUUCUUUCCCCCAAUCAAUUGAAGGUUGCUUUCUUGUUUUCAGGCGGGUGAGCGGGACGCGUGAUUCUCUGCUUCCCCGCUAACCUGGGCGCCGACAAUUGACGUCCGUCUCAAGAGACAGAGAGUGGCUUUAUUUCUCACCGUCUAUGGAGGACGGGACUUUUUUGUUUGUGUUGUGUGUGUGUGUGUGUCCCUCUCUUUUUCUUUCUCUAAGAUCAUCUCAAGCUAAUAGUGAGAAAAAAGGCAUGUGAGCGAUUCUGCCCAGGCAGGUCCCACAAUACCUUCUGGAACGUCCAUUUUUCUUGCUUUCAUGGGAACACUAUGAGGUCUCUCUUGGAGGGGACAAUGGCAAGAUUAAAGAGGGAGGGAGCGUGAGGGAAAGCGGGAAAUAGAAAGGCUGUUCAGCCGGACCGCUGGAGAGCUUUAUGCCGCAAUUUAAAGGGGUUUAUCCUGGACGCCCCCGACCCUGCCAGCAUGAUUGGCGGAAACCUCUUGGUUUCUACUUAGUUUUGCAGUGAGAACCAGUGUUAAGUGCAAAAGAGAGAAAAGGCCACCCUUUCUUUCAGGAGUCACUCUUGUGUUUCUGCAAACAUAACUGUGAGGGUACAUAUGUCCGGGUUGGGUACUGACCCACAGGAUCUCAGGUUCCUUGUUCACAUGGGGACACUGCUGGCAGGAUGUCAGCCUGGCUGCUGUUGUGCCCAAGCCGGAUGCCUCUAAGCCAGCCUGAGCACCGUCUGUCUCUUAGGCCGUCAGGAUGCCCCCCCCAGGCCGGUCCUCCUAUGGAGGGGAGGUGCCAGACUUGAGAAGUGGACUCCGGGACUGUCUGGGCCUUGCCAGGCGGCGUGACUGUCACGGCAAAAUCCCUCCGGCCCCUCUGCCCCGACCUUGGAGCUGGCCUGCUCUGGCCACGGCCUCCAGGAGAGGUUUUGGCGAGAGGGGAAGGUCUGUCGCUGUGGGUUUGUCCAUGGGCGUGGCUCAGCUUUCGCCCCCUCUUGUCUGGGGCCCCAGCCUCGUUAGGAUCCCUGACCUGCUUGCUGGGCUGACUGCUGCUAAGCCUCGGCACAGUCGGUAUGUGCCGCCCCGUGCCCCGAGCCCAGAGACAUGACCACUGGCUGCAACUGCAGUGACCUGCCGCUUAGGGCCCCCCAGACUCACUGUCCCCUGAGGCUCACGGGGUGCUGUGUGCGCACGCCGUUUCAUUCAGAUGGAGAAGGGCCAGUCUUGCUCACUGACCUUAAAGGCUCCUCAGCUUCCUCAUCCCAAAGUGGAGGCUGAACUUUGCCUCCUGGGGGGCUCCGCCUGGGGGUCCUAGGGGAGCAAGUGAAGCCAUGGGCACGGAGUCUCUGCUGCCUCUACUUAGCAGGUGCACAGUUGAAGGGAGCAUGUCAGCAGUUGGUUUUCUUAAGACCCAUCUACGUCCGUGCUUGGAAGACGGAGGGUGGAAGGAGGCCCAGUGGCAGGGACCUCUCUUGGGGUUGGGUCAGCCUCUGUCUGCUUUUGUUCUAGGCUGUGGUGGCAGCUCCUGCGGGGAUCUGAGAACCUUAUCGCUCGAGGCCCCCGUGGCUCCGGGCUCCCCAUUCCAGGAGAACGCGGGCCUCUGCCCAUGAUACACAGUGUGGUUGCCCCUUUUGUGGCAAGCCACUUGCAGAUGGAAAGUGAGGGACUUCCCCCUGGGUUCUGUGCUUUUUCCAAAGUGUUACACAUUUUUAUUUUUGCAAGAGAGAAGUAGGCUCAUUUCCUGACUUGGGCUCAGCCAGUGUUGGUGUGAGGCCAGAGGCUGGGGCCCCAGGCCUGGAAGCUGGUGGUCCGGUGGUGGGCACGUCCUGUGUCCCACUGCAGCUCACCUCACCCUUCUGCACCAGGAGGGCCACUGGGGGUCAGAGUCAAACGGACCGUGUCAUCAUCAGUGUAGGAAUUACAGCAUCUUGAAGCAAUUACAAGAUGGCGGUGCUGUGUGCGUGCGCGCAUGCAUGUGUGUGUGUGUGUGAGUGUGUGUGAGUGUGAGAGGGCGACAGAUGCAUGCACACAUGCAUAUGCACGCAUUUAUAUCUAAGGGAGAGAAGGGAGCGAGGGGAGGGCCGAGGGCCGACCUGGAGCCCCCAGCAGGAAGCCUGGGAUUCUGUGCGCAUGGAGGAUGUUGUGAGGACGCUCGGCUGCUUCCUUUUGUUUUGUCUUGCUGGUUCGCUGCCUCCUUGCACUUUCAGCCGUUUCGCCCUGACACAUCAUUCAUCACCUGGGGGAGGGCUCCAGAGGAAAGUAAUAUACUCACGGCCUUUGCCCUUUCCUCCCAUCUGGCCGAGGGCCUGGCCCCGCGUGGGGUCAGCCUGGGCACACCCUCCCGCCAGCCUCUUGCCUGGCUGCCACCUCGCUGGUGUCCUGGAUCAGAGAGGCCCUGUCCUCCUUACAGCACCUGGGCACCCGGCCUUACAGGCAGACCGCCGGGGUUCGGGUCCUCCCCAGUUGCUCCCCGGGUGGCUUGGACCCUCCGACACCAGUGGCACAGCGGCCCCUGCGCUGGGGUGGCUGUGAGGGUUCAGAGGACAGUCCCUGUGAAGACACUCGCCAUCAGUACUCAGUAAACAUUAGCCCUGCUGUCAUCGGAGGCUCCGCAGCUGUUAGGACACAAGAAUGAGCCCCCAGAAAUGCUGACUUUGUUCCCGAGCAAGAUAAGAUUCUAGGGGAUGACGGGCGGAAUUGACGAUCGCUCAGCCUUGUGAGUCUGUUUUCUGUACAUGAAGAAAGUCUGGACUUGAGAGUGGUUUAGGGCAGCUCCCAGCCCUGCACAUUCCCCAGGAGCUGUUUGGGAGCCCUUGUCCCUUUGGAAUAUCAGUACCAGGUGAGGAUUGCUGGUGGCUCUAGGUGGAUAGAAAUCAGGUUGGGUUUCUCUUCUGAAUUUCUAUGGCAUGAUGGGUAAGGGCACAGGCCUUGACCAGACAGAGCUGGGUUGAGCCUGGCCCAGCCACUGCCCCCUCUAUUAGAGUUUGUGGAAUCAGCCUUGGGCUGUCCAGGCAUACACGGGGCUGCCGGCAGAUUCUGUCCCUUGGUUGUGGGGGUGGGGUGUGCCUGGGCAUCCACCUCAGGUAGAUUAGCUCGGAGGGUGAGGGCUUCUUGGGCCUUCUAGGAGCCUCUUGAGAUGUGGGUGCUGUGUUUGUGUAUCCUGCCAAACAUUUAAACAGUAACGAACAAAGGAGAAAAAAUAGAAAGGGAAAAAAUAAGCCUAUCAGGAAAUUAACAGUUAUGCCGAGGUGUGUCCCUGAGAAAGUCAAAGGGACGGAGACCCGCCCUGGCCAGCGCUUCCGGAGUCUGUGGUCAGGCCUCCCAGUGGGAACUACAUUCUUUUGGCACAGGGAUGCCUUAAUGGGGCCAUCCACACAAGGUCAGGGUCAUGAUUCCCAUCCUGGCUCUAAGAGUGGAAAUGACUCGUCCAGAGUCCCUAAGCUAGAAAACGCAGAUGCUGCCAUCUAUCUGGGGCUCCGCUGGCCAGUGUGGGCCCACGCCGGCCCUUUGCCCAGCAUGCCUGCGAUUCAGCUGUCACCGUGAGUCCGGUGGGUGAAAGGCUCUCCCGCCGCUGCUUCCUCCUGGCGCCUCCAUCCUGGCACAGCUGGGCACCAUGAAGGGCUGUCGAAUCCCACGGAGUCGGCCCACACGUGAUCUGAUGUUAUCGCCAUCACGGCCCCACGAGAGCAGUUUUAGUUCCCCAUUUUACAGACAGGGAAGGCGAAGCUUAAGUUGCAUAAGGAACUGAGGGAGACCUGGCCUGGCGGCAGGGGCAGGGCUCCCCUGCAGCUUGUGGCCGCUUCAGCCUUGUGCCCGGGAGCCCAGCCCGUCCCUACAGAGCCUGUUGGUCAGCCCGUGGGUGUGGGCCUGGGGGCUCCAGGACGGCGUGCGGGAGGCCGGGGAGGGUGUUGUGGCUGGGCUCCAAGGGGGAGAAGGAGGUUUGUGAACAGGGUGAUCCUGGCUGGGGGAAGGUAGCCCCAGAGGGAGCUGAGGGGGCAGGGGGGCCGCGGGCAAGGUGGGAACAGGGCUGCUGGGGCUGCUGCAUUGAGGUGUUUGCUCUUCGCAGAGACUCGAGGAGGAAAGUCCUGGGUCAGGUUUGAGCCCCGAUGAGCUGAGAGGCCCCUGAGGACAUUCACGGGACCCCCUAGGUCUGGAGCUUAGAACAAGGUCUGGCCUCAGAGCGGCCGUCUGCGGCCGCUGGGGCCGAGGAAGAGUUCUGAUUUGGAUUUGGGGCCAGGCCUUGAGUCGUGUCAAACCUGCUUGGGCACAGCGGCCUCCCAGGGCAGAGCGGGGACACCCUGGGCUCAGGCAGAGUGACUCUGUCAUUGCAGAGAUGGGCCCAGAGCCGGCAGGACUUCCCAGGGCACACCCAGCGAGUGGCAGCCUGGAGUCCAAGGCCAGGUGCCUGUGACCCCACCAGGGGCGUCUUGGGUUACACUGUCCUCGGAGGAUGCUUGUUGCCUUCUGCAGCCUGCUGGUAGGCCGAGCCAGCAGGGGCGACCCUUGGGACGCACCCGUUCCCAGAACGGAGGGCAGAUGGAGGCCCAGAGCAGGGCGGGUUUGCCCGAGGCCCUCCUGAGCGGUGCCUGGACGUCGUGUCUGAUGCCCCUUCCUCGGACUGUUCUCCUGCCUGCAGCGCCUUCCUGGGGAGCCGUCGCCCUUGGACUCCUACCCUUUGACCGAGUCACAGAUCUGGGAGGGGGCCCAGGUCGUCUGCCACAGGCAGCUUUGUGGUCAGUGAGGGGCUCCUCUGGGUUUAGGGAAGGAGCCCAACUUCGUGCUGCGAAAGUGAGGGCAGCUUGACAUUUUGUGCACGUCCUCUGGGGCCUCUUCUCAGAGGAGUUUGGCAGAGCAGGGGACCCCUUCUUCGGGGCUCCAGGACAUCCCUGCUCCCCAGGCUUGCCCUCUCACUCUGGCUACAUCGACAAGCACCGAGUGGUGGGAGAGCUGGUGCUGUCUGUGACCAGUCGGGAUGCUGGCUCCUGGGAGCGAGCAGGGGUGUAGGUACCCCCUGGGAAGCCAGGCUCAUCCCAAGAUGGGGAGCCCUUGUCAGCUGAAAGGGGCAGCCCGUGAGAGCUUCUCGACGUCGCUUCUGUAGUUUUCCACGUGAUAAAUCGGUGGUUGUGUUCCUGCAACGUUUGCUUACCUUCAUGGUUCACAUUUUAUUGCCAGGGAGGAAAGAAGCCGUCUCCCUACCCAGCUGACAGAAGUGUGGCUGAAUUUGACACUUGGAACUUCGUCUCUGCUUCUCCUCUCUCUGUCAGAUGUAGAAAUACGACGACGGCAGGUGGAAGCGGGGGCUCUGGGCCGCACAGCACGAUCCUGGACGCCAGGCCCAAAUGUCUGUCUCUGGCGUGUGUCCUAGAGUCCCCUCCCGUGGGCGCCGGGGCUGGAGUGUGGCAGGCUUGAGGGGCUGUGCCUCCCCAUCCCCUUCUGGCAAACUCGCAGCCUCCUCGUAGCGCCUCCCGCUGGCAGGGCCUGGCAGCUGCUCCGAGCGGCUGACACCCACCAAACUGCACGGGGGACGGCGGCGUCGCGUGGGAGAGCAGGGGUUCGGGGCACCAAGCAGCCCCCCAGCCCCACCUUGGGUUUGCCCACGAAGCCUGGCCCUGCUCCCCUGUGGAGCCGGAAGCCCCAAACCAGCUUCUGCCCGGCGGGCAGGGAGCCACGCGAGCCUUUGCGGCAGCGAGAUGUUUUCCAGGGAUGCCCCGGCCCCGCCAGCUAUGUUCUGUGAAGGCGCCCACCAGCCGCGUGAGCACGCCCGCUCGCCCGCCGCCCACACGCAGAUGUCUGGCACAUGUGUGGUCCGCUCGCCCGUUCGGGGCUGGUGCUUCUUGGUGUUUUCACAUCCCAUGCUUGUAUGAACCUCAGAUUUAAUUUAGUGAUUAUUAAGUGCAGGCACUCGGGGCUGGUAGGGGCUUUUCUUUCCUGCCCAGUUCUGCAAAGUUCCAUUUUCAGAAAUGCACAAGCCUAGUUCCUGCCAAUAAGAAGGAAAGUAAAAAAGAACUUUGAUGGAGAAACAUCAAAAUGAUUUAAUAUGGAGAUGGGGGGGCCUCCUUUUUUUUGAAAAUGGAAGUGACCAUUUGAAUAAGAUUUGGGCCUGUGGGUCAUCCUUCUCUGAAUUUCUAACUCAGUGUGUAUUCUCCUCUUAAAAUUAACAUACACAUACAUAUAUAUCUUGUUUUUUGAUAGUACCUUAAUGUGUUCAAAAAUUAAUAGUGGAGAGUCUUGCCUUCAGGUUAACUGCUACUUUGUUUCUUGUGAUCCUUCUAGAAAUCCUUUAUGCAAAUAGAAGCAGAUGAUAAUUUCCCUUUUUUUUUCCUCUCUCUUACACAAAAGAUAACCUGCUUUAUCUACUCUUCUGCACUUUGCUGUCUUAAAAUGAUAGACCCGGGAGGUGUUUUGGUGUCAGAGCCAAGCUGCAGGAUGUCCUGUCCUGUGACUAUGGCCCGUCUUUCCCAGGCCACCCUCCCGGGCCCUCGAGCCAGUGCAGGCAUGCUCAGCAGUGAGCUCCAGAGCUCCUGUGUCCUCUCAGACAUGGCACGUGGGUCCUCCUGGAGAUGCAGUCCACCAGGAGGGCCGCACGGCCACGGGUGGCAUGUGUGUGUCACCUUGAGGGUGUGGCCCCAGUGACGUUGUAGGAGCCACGCACCCUGAUGGUUUCUGCAGGUGGCCCGUGUCCCCACUGACACACACUGGCCACAUGUGAGUUUUGCCAAGUGAUGAGUGACACAUGGUCUCUCCGUGUCAUCUUAGUUUGCCUUUCCGUUAGCAGUCAAGCCUCUGUUCUUUGUCUCUCUGAAAGCUGUUCAGGUGUCCUGAGCUGGGUUCAUUUAUCU